UACGGAGGGUGCAAGCGUUAUCCGGAUUCACUGGGUUUAAAGGGUGCGUAGGUGGGUUGGUAAGUCAGUGGUGAAAUCUCCGAGCUUAACUUGGAAACUGCCAUUGAUACUAUUAAUCUUGAAUAUUGUGGAGGUCAGCGGAAUAUGUCAUGUAGCGGUGAAAUGCUUAGAGAUGACAUAGAACACCUAUUGCGAAGGCAGCUUACUACGCAGAUAUUGACGCUCAUGCACGAAAGCGUGGGGAUCAAACAGG
rnacentral:rRNA from 1 species